UUGCAAACCUCGUCAGGACUGGAAG
rnacentral:SRP_RNA from 1 species